UGGGGAAUAUUGGACAAUGGGCGAAAGCCUGAUCCAGCCAUGCCGCGUGUGUGAAGAAGGUCUUCGGAUUGUAAAGCACUUUAAGUUGGGAGGAAGGGCAGUUACCUAAUACGUGAUUGUUUUGACGUUACCGACAGAAUAAGCACCGGCUAACUCUGUGCCAGCAGCCGCGGUAAUACAGAGGGUGCAAGCGUUAAUCGGAAUUACUGGGCGUAAAGCGCGCGUAGGUGGUUAGUUAAGUUGGAUGUGAAAUCCCCGGGCUCAACCUGGGAACUGCAUUCAAAACUGACUGACUAGAGUAUGGUAGAGGGUGGUGGAAUUUCCUGUGUAGCGGUGAAAUGCGUAGAUAUAGGAAGGAACACCAGUGGCGAAGGCGACCACCUGGACUGAUACUGACGCUGAGGCGCGAGAGCAAGGGGAGCAAACAGGAUUAGAUACCCCAGUAGUCCCUGAGCGGGCUGGCAAGGCGCAU
rnacentral:rRNA from 1 species